AAACACCGUACGAUCAGCGAAGUUAAGCAAUGUUGAGUCUGGUUAGUACCUAGAUGGGUGACCUGCUUGAGAAUACCAGGUGCUGUAAG